CCUACGGGAGGCAGCAGUGAGGAAUAUUGGUCAAUGGGCGCGAGCCUGAACCAGCCAAGUCGCGUGAGGGAGGACGGCCCUACGGGUUGUAAACCUCUUUUGCCGGGGAGCAACGGGCGUCACGUGUGGCGCCACUGAGAGUACCCGGAGAAAAAGCAUCGGCUAACUCCGUGCCAGCAGCCGCGGUAAUAGGGAGGAUGCGAGCGUUAUCCGGAUUUAUUGGGUUUAAAGGGUGCGUAGGCGGAGCGUUAAGUCAGUGGUCAAAUUAAGGGGCUAAACCCGUUCCCGCCAUUGAAACUGGCGUUCUUGAGUGGAAGAGAGGUAUGCGGAAUGCGUGGUGUAGCGGUGAAAUGCAUAGAUAUCACGCAGAACCCCGAUUGCGAAGGCAGCAUGCCGGCUUCCGACUGACGCUGAAGCACGAAAGCGUGGGGAUCGAACAGGAUUAGAUACCCGAGUAGUC
rnacentral:rRNA from 1 species